rnacentral:rRNA from 1 species
CAUUUGCCUUAUAAUUGAAGGCUAGUAUGAAUGGUUUGACAAGAAUGUAGCUGUCUCUUUAUAAUUAAACAGAAUUUUAUUUAUAGGUGAAGAAGCCUAUAUUAAAUUAAAAGACAAGAAGACCCUAUCGAGCUUGAAAUAAAUUAGUAGACUAAAUAAUUAAUGGUGUCAGAAAAUUAACUAUUAGAAAUUUUAGUUGGGGCGACUGAGGAACAAAAAAAGCUUCCUUUAAAAAUAAAAAACUAAACAAGUAUUGAUCCAAAACAUUUUGAUUAAAGGAAUUAGUUACCGUAGGGAUAACAGCAUUAUCUUUUUUAAGAGCUCUUAUCGAAAAAAAGGUUUGUGACCUCGAUGUUGGACCAGAAUAUCCUAAAGAUGCAGCAGUCUUUAAGGGUUGGUCUGUUCGACCAUUAAAAUUCU